rnacentral:rRNA from 1 species
UACGAAGGGGGCUAGCGUUGCUCGGAAUUACUGGGCGUAAAGCGCACGUAGGCGGAUUUGUAAGUCAGGGGUGAAAUCCCGCGGCUCAACUGCGGAUCUGCAGUCGAUACGGGCAGACUAGAGUACUGCAGGGGAGACUGGAAUUCCUGGUGUAGCGGUGGAAUGCGCAGAUAUCAGGAGGAACACCGGUGGCGAAGGCGGGUCUCUGGGCAGUAACUGACGCUGAGGAGCGAAAGCGUGGGGAGCGAACAGG